rnacentral:rRNA from 1 species
CCCNNNNCAUAGAGGGUGAGAGCCCCGUCUGGCUGGCCACCGAGCCUAUGUAAAGCUCCUUCGACGAGUCGAGUAGUUUGGGAAUGCUGCUCAAAAUGGGAGGUAUAUGUCUUCUAAAGCUAAAUAUUGGCCAGAGACCGAUAGCGCACAAGUAGAGUGAUCGAAAGAUGAAAAGCACCUUGAAAAGAGGGUUAAACAGUACGUGAAAUUGUUGAAAGGGAAGCGCUUGUGACCAGACUUGGGCGCGGCGGAUCAUCCGGGGUUCUCCCCGGUGCACUUCGCCGCGUUCAGGCCAGCAUCAGUUCGGCGCGGGGGAAAAAGGCUUCGGGAACGUGGCUCCUCCGGGAGUGUUAUAGCCCGUUGCAUAAUACCCUGCGCUGGACUGAGGACCGCGCAUCUGCAAGGAUGCUGGCGUAAUGGUCACCAGCGA